AGAGAAAACAAAAAUAAAAGUAAAAAGCAAUGCUCCCUGGACUUGUAGAGGAGGGAGAAUCAGAGAACAGAAGAAAAGAAUUACCCUUAAGGGAAGAUUUUUGGUGACAGGACAGCAUCAGAGACAAGAUCAAAACUAAAAGCUUUGAAAUCCAGGCUUCUGAGUGCUGAUGACAUCAUGAUUAAAGAAAAAAAAAAAAGUGGGGGAUCGGGGAAGUGGAUACUAAGAGAAGAA